GUGGAAACAUUGACUAUGACUAACCACAACAGACAUGCAACGAAGCAAGAAAGAGGAAUCUCAUUGGACAUACCCGUACCCGAGUCAUUCGGAAGCGGCCGCUUCCAGACUACUACCACUGUAGAUACG
rnacentral:ribozyme from 1 species